ACUGGCUGGACAACCAUUAGAGAGCUGGGGCCGGGAGGCUCGGGGACUACAUUUCCCAGGACGCCAAGCGGUCGGGUCCGGAAACGACGGACUUUGGGCUAAGUGCGCAGGCGCACGCGCCGCCGUGGUCUAUAUAAAGAAGGUUCGCUCCCUUUUUCGUCCUUUGAUUCCUGAGUCUCCGUGAGGUGUUCUCGUGGUUACGAUAUGUCUCUUCCCUGUGAGAUUCAUUUGCAGAUGGCUGGACUGAUCAAGCAGUACAGAAUGGAGGUCGGAGGGAGAGAAGGUCCUCCAGGGAGCUGAGAAAUCGCCGAGCACCUUAAGUCUCAAGGUUUGCUGAUGGCCAAGACCAGGCUUUGAAUGGAUGGUGAACUAAGAGGGGAGCGCAUUGAUUGGUAAGUGUCCCUCCUCCAGGGCAGACUUGUUUCUACUUGACACAAAUUGGGCUGGUGAAGCUGAUGAUACCACUUCUUUCCCCAUCAGAUCGACCCUGUUGAUCUCAUAUGCUAAUAGCCAGUUUUCUCUGAUGCACCAGCCCCUGGAAUCACUCAUCUUAGCUUUAAUUUGUUAUCGUGUAUUAAUGGCUCCCAUCUAUUUUCUUUUCUACAGGCCUGAGGAACCCAUGGAUGCCAGUGUUGGUCCAUUCUUGCUUUCAGGUGAGCGUCUGUUUUGACCUGUUUCUAGGGAUGUUAGCAACAAGUGUGGAGGGUAAUGGACCCUGUUCUGAAGCUGUUAGUUUUUAGGGCUCUUGAUACUCUUUAAGUUUACCGUGUUGCUCAGUGGGAUUGGAGGGGAAUGUGUUUGUUGUCUGGCCUUUUACCUCAUCUGAUAUUAGAUCAAGGAGUGGGCCAGAGUGAGUUUCAGGAUGCUGUUCCUGUCAGGCAAGCCUAUCAACAACUUUACUUUUCUUUUUUAGGUACCCCUUGGAACACAAUAGCAGUCCAGUCCUGCUGCCACCCCCACACGGCUGGGCAUGGUUCAAAGGCAUGCAGGAUGCAAAGAAGAGUCAGCUUUGGCUGGGGAGGAAUGGUUUGGUGUGCACUGCUACUGAAGUAGAAACUUUUGGCCUUCUGUCUGUAGAAAUAAAAAUCUGACUUGGUGUUUUUA